rnacentral:rRNA from 1 species
GCCUACGGGGCGCAGCAGUGGGGAAUAUUGGGCAAUGGGCGCAGGCCUGACCCAGCAACGCCGCGUGAAGGAAGAAGGCCCUCGGGUUGUAAACUUCUUUUAACAGGGACGAAGAAAGUGACGGUACCUGUUGAAUAAGCCACGGCUAACUACGUGCCAGCAGCCGCGGUAAUACGUAGGUGGCAAGCGUUAUCCGGAUUUACUGGGUGUAAAGGGCGUGUAGGCGGGAGAG